rnacentral:misc_RNA from 1 species
UCUCCGUUGGUGAACCAGCGGAGGGAUCAUUACCAGAGUGCCCUAGGCUCUCCAACCCAUUGUGAACAUACCUAUCGUUCCCUCGGCGGGCUCAGCGCGCGGUGCCUCCGGGCUCCGGGCGUCCGCCGGGGACAACCAAACUCUGAUUUUAUUGUGAAUCUCUGAGGGGCGAAAGCCCGAAAACAAAAUGAAUCAAAACUUUCAACAACGGAUCUCUUGGCUCUGGCAUCGAUGAAGAACGCAGC